AAAACUGAUAGGUUUGUUCCUUUUAUGAUAAUUAUUAUGAUUGAUUUUGUUCAAUUUAUACGUAACUAAACAAA